rnacentral:misc_RNA from 1 species
GAUGAAGAACGCAGCGAAAUGCGAUAAGUAAUGUGAAUUGCAGAAUUCAGUGAAUCAUCGAAUCUUUGAACGCACAUUGCGCCCCUUGGUAUUCCAUGGGGCAUGCCUGUUCGAGCGUCAUUUGUACCUUCAAGCUCUGCUUGGUGUUGGGUGUUUGUCUCGCCUCUGCGUGUAGACUCGCCUCAAAACAAUUGGCAGCCGGCGUAUUGAUUUCGGAGCGCAGUACAUCUCGCGCUUUGCACUCAUAACGACGACGUCCAAAAGUACAUUUUUACACUCUUGACCUCGGAUCAAGUAGGGAUACCCGCUGAACUUAAGCAUAUCAAUAAGCGGAGGA